rnacentral:lncRNA from 1 species
GAAAAUGAUUGGACCUCUAUGUUAAACUCUGAUACUGUCUUUGGACUCUCCACUACUGGUCCAGAUAAUUAUGACGUCUUGAAAGGCUAUUAUACUUAUUUGCUUUGAAGCCUUACAGAUGGCUGCAAGGCAUCAAAGCAAAAAAAGAAUGAUAGCCUUUCAAGACGUCAUAAUUAUUUGGACUACUCCACUUCAAGAAAUGUAGCAGGAC